GCUGGGCACGGUGGCGCGUGUCUGUAAUCCCAGCUACUCAGGAAGCUGAGGCAGGAGAAUCGCCUGAACCCAGGAGGCGGAGGUUGCGGUGAGCCGAGAUCGCGCCAUUGCACUCCAGCCUGGGCAAAAAGAGCGAAACUCCAUCUCAAAAAAAAAAAAAAAAAAAACUACCUCUUUCAUAAAACGUUUUCCUUCUUGACACUUUGUACCAAAUUUCUUUUUUUUUUUUUUUGAGACGGAGUUUCGCUCUUGUUACCCAGGCUGGAGUGCAAUGGCGCGAUCUCGGCUCACCGCAACCUCCGCCUCCUGGGUUCAGGCGAUUCUCCUGCCUC
rnacentral:SRP_RNA from 1 species